rnacentral:rRNA from 1 species
UGGGGAAUAUUGGACAAUGGGCGAAAGCCUGAUCCAGCCAUGCCGCGUGUGUGAAGAAGGUCUUCGGAUUGUAAAGCACUUUAAGUUGGGAGGAAGGGCAUUAACCUAAUACGUUAGUGUUUUGACGUUACCGACAGAAUAAGCACCGGCUAACUCUGUGCCAGCAGCCGCGGUAAUACAGAGGGUGCAAGCGUUAAUCGGAAUUACUGGGCGUAAAGCGUGCGUAGGUGGUGUGUUAAGUUGGAUGUGAAAUCCCCGGGCUAAACCUGGGAACUGCAUUCAAAACUGACUGACUAGAGUAUGGUAGAGGGUGGUGGAAUUUCCUGUGUAGCGGUGAAAUGCGUAGAUAUAGGAAGGAACACCAGUGGCGAAGGCGACCACCUGGACUAAUACUGACACUGAGGUGCGAAAGCGUGGGGAGCAAACA